ACGGAAGGCAGCAGUGGGGAAUAUUGCACAAUGGGCGAAAGCCUGAUGCAGCAACGCCGCGUGAAGGAAGAAGGCCCUUGGGUCGUAAACUUCUGUUCUAAGGGAAGAUAAUGACGGUACCUUAGGAGCAAGUCCCGGCUAACUACGUGCCAGCAGCCGCGGUAAUACGUAGGGGGCGAGCGUUAUCCGGAAUUAUUGGGCGUAAAGAGUACGUAGGUGGUUUCCUAAGAAUGGGGUUUAAGGCAAUAGCUCGACUAUUGUUCGCCCCAUGAACUGGGUUACUUGAGUGCUGGAGAGGAAAGCGGAAUUCCUAGUGUAGCGGUGAAAUGCGUAGAUAUUAGGAGGAACACCAGUGGCGAAGGCGGCUUUCUGGACAGUAACUGACACUGAGGUACGAAAGUGUGGGGAGCAAACAGGAUUAGAUACCCUGGUA
rnacentral:rRNA from 1 species